rnacentral:rRNA from 1 species
UACGGGGGGGGCAAGCGUUUUUCGGAAUUACUGGGCGUAAAGGGCUCGUAGGCGGCCAACUAAGUCCGACGUGAAAUCCCUCGGCUUAACCGGGGAACUGCGUCUGAUACUGGAUGGCUUGAGUUCGGGAGAGGGAUGCGGAAUUCCAGGUGUAGCGGUGAAAUGCGUAGAUAUCUGGAGGAACACCGGUGGCGAAGGCGGCAUCCUGGACCGAUACUGACGCUGAGGUGCGAAAGCGUGGGGAGCAAACAGG